AAUGUAAUUUCUUGUUGAUUUACUACGACACUUCUUGCUUCCCGCGUCUUACUCUACAGAGUACACAACGCCGAGACACAACGAGAACAGAAAUUUUCGAAUUCUUUGAAUGGCAGAAGCACACUGACACUAAUCGAAGAACCCAUACUAAUAAACCCUAAUCCAUAUUACAGACCUUCUUCUUCUUCUUCUUUAUUCUUUCUUUUCACUUUUCAUUAGUUUUUACGUUCUGCUGUGUGCCACAGGGGACGGAGUUUCAUCGCUGCGGUGCACCGUACGAAGGGUGGAAGCGAGCGAUUACGAUGAAGACGGGAUUCCAUCGGUGGAGUUCUGAUGAUCAAAGAAACGUAAGUGAUGAUGAAUUGGACGGUCUUGAUGAGCGCAAAGUAGGAGUUGUCAUUGAUGAGCAACGAGGUUUUCGUGGCUUGGUCUCUUUCGAAGUUGCCUUGCCGCUUAUACCAAUGUUACCUUAUGGUGGUGUUAUGAUCAUGCUAGCAUGGCACCUGAAGGAUAUGCUCCUCAGUCUCAACUAGGUUCAAGAAAUUGUGGGAAGAUGUAUUUUUGACUUGUUGCACUUGGAAUGUAAUUUUUCCUCCGAUAAAUUGGAAUUUGAGCAAGUAUAUGACAAAGUAACCAGUAUCAGCAGUACAAUUUUUGGCCCCCCAUUUCAUGCAGUACUAUCUGAAGGAUGAUUAUUGCUGUACUCUCUGAAGGAUGUUUAUUUGUACAGAAUCUGAAAGAUACAAAUGUUGUGUUGAAACAAACAAGCUAUAUUUAACGUAUGUUGCUGGUACUUCAGAAA